CGCCGCCCUUGCAAGGCGGAGGCCCCGGGUUCGAAUCCCGGCGGGUCCAC
rnacentral:rRNA from 1 species